AGCGAACGCUGGCGGCGAGGCCUAACACAUGCAAGUCGAGCGGCCGUAGCAAUACGGCAGCGGCAGACGGGAGAGUAACACGUGGGAACGUGCCCUUUGGUUCGGAAUAACGCAGGGAAACUUGCGCUAAUACCGAAUAAGCCCUUACGGGGAAAGACUUAUCGCCAUUGGAGCGGCCCGCGUCUGAUUAGCUAGUUGGUGGGGUAACGGCUCACCAAGGCGACGAUCAGUAGCNGGUCUGAGAGGAUGAUCAGCCUCAC
rnacentral:rRNA from 1 species